AAAAUACACCAUCUCUGUGCAGCCUUUCAGGGGGAAAUUCCUGACACAGUUGCCGUGUAAGACACAGCGGGUUUACAGCUUGCCAGAGAUACAAUUUGGGAAGACAACCCCUCUGGCUGGCUGUGACGUGUUCAGCGUGCUCCGUGGAAGCCCAGAGCACCGCAUCCCUGCUCAGGGCUUCCUGAAGCAAGAUUUGAGAAAGAGGACCUGCUAAAUUAAGAAAGUCUGUGGCUGAGGAAAUGUGAUUUUCUUAAAUCCAAGUGCAGUUGGCAUGGAAGCAAAAGAGUUAUACAAGGAAGACUGUCAAGUACACAAGCCCACCUGGGGAUACGCUCUGCAGAACGGAGAGUACAGCGAGGGACACAGCACACCAAGUCACUCAAGAGCCCACCAGGGUCUCACGGCACCUUCAAGCAAAUGGGAACACCUCUCUCUUAAUGCUAAAACCCACUGGCAACCAGAGAUGACCUGUGGCUAUACAGGUCCACCAUAGUCCAACUCCAACCUUUAUUUUUCACAAGUAGUAAGUCAGAAAGAAAACUUUUUAUAGUGGUAAUUCUGGCAUUUUCUU